ensembl:lncRNA
CAACACCCGAACGGAACGCGAAGGUUCCUCAGGCAUCGCGGCGGGGUUUACUGCCGAUAAGCAAUUCUCCGCCGAAAUAUAAAUUACUCGCAGCAAACACAGGCUGAGCCCAGCCAUGCUGGUGGCUCUGGGGACUGAGCAGAACUGCAGCACAAGCCCACUUUCAGCCUUUUUGUAAGCCCACAUCUCUUUUCUGGCUAAGAACUUGAGGCUGAACUGCUUGGAACUGCUCUUAUCUCUGUUACCAUACGCUGUGAGCCCAGUACUGAGCUCCAUGGUUUGAAUUAAGCCUCUUUCUCUGCACCAGAGAUGUUCCUCGUGCAAGAGGACUGUCCUGGCAUCUCCUCUCAUCCUUCUUGGGAAGGGAAAUCCUGAGCAAUGUGGUGUGAUCCAAGUGGCCCUUCCAUCUCCGCUAUCAUCAGAAAACACCAUGUGCUUCAUGGGCAUGGCGCUGUGAAAUGGUUCCAGCUGUUCAACCCCGUGGAGAUGGACAAAAGUCAGAUGCAGAGUCUCUCCAUCCACCUCUGGGCCUGGCAGAGGAUGCUUGAGGUGGGGCUGGAUGAACCACAGCACUUUAAAGCAAAGUUGAAGGCAAACCGGCAACAUUUUCUGUGCUUGUGAGGCUGUGCUCCUGUUAAAAGUCACUCAUAUGGCAGCCAUCAAAAAGGUUUGGCUUUUUGCAUGUGAAAAAAAAAUGUUUGUAUUAUUAAAAGAACAGUAUUCUGUGCCUUCUUCAGAAGGUAACGUGCACCAGAAACAAGCACUGUACUUCUCCUUUGCUAUGCUGCUGCUUUUACUUUCAAAUCAACUGUAGCAAAAAGUUCUUCCCCUUUUCAUGAAAGAAAGGGGAGCUAGAAGAUCAUUUGUAUGGAAUCAUGUUAAUAGUACAGAAUAUUUUCUUGGAAUCAUUGAAUGGCCCUCGUUGGAAGAGACCUUUGAAAGAUCAUCAGGUCCAAACUUGAUUUUAUGUCCCUCGAGGCUGCAAAGUAUACUAAAUCUGAUUUAAUGUAGGGCUGCAGUAUCAUCUGAGGCUUCAAUCUUCUCCUAAGACUCUGCUGCUUCAUCUUGUGCCAGCCUUUAAUAACACAGGGGAACUUUAACAUGUGGCAAUCUGUACAGCGGCAGCAUCACAGGUGGGUUAAUGCACAGAAGACUUUGGAAGCAUAAGUUCAGGAACCAAAGCAAUGUAUUGACAAUGGUGUUCAUGUAUACCGGUGUUUCCUCUUUAGGUCACGGAUUGCUGUGGCUGCAGCUUGGAAUUGCCACUUUUGUGAUGAACUUGUUCAUAGGAGAUCAUUUUAUACUAUUUGAGGAUGUGUCCCAUUGUGCUGGAAGAGAGCAAAAUGUCAGACAAAUAUUUGGAGUAAAAAGAAAUCAGUUCUUAGUCAUUUUUGUAUUAUGUAUCUGAGAGCAAAGCCAUUAUUUUCUGGUUUUGUAGGUGUUGUGUAGCAGAACAUCAAAUGUAUGCACAAAAGGACAGAUGAUGAAAACACAGAGAUAAAGAAAACAGGUGGUGAGCUGCCAAGAAAAAAAUAUCUUAUCCUUUUAUAAGCACAUUUCUUUGACUGAGCUUUGCUGUGAUUUUUAAAUGAUCGUAAUGAGAAAUAAAAGCCAACCGUUUGAAUUGGCAGGUGGAGCACAGCACAACGGGGUCUGUGAGGCCCUGUUACAGUUUGUUUUGUCAGAUGUUUGUGUUUGGUUUUGCUUUUAUAUAAUGAGAAGCAGUGGAGAAACUCCCACUGAUGGAUGGGGGAGAUUAAUUCAGACAGUUGUGGUCUUCCUGAGAAAUGGCUUGAAGAGAGCUUAGACUUGGGAAAGCAAGAAGGAAGAAGGAAUUAAUUUGAAGGUUUUUUCCCUUUGAUACGUCUCAGUAUCUGAGAGAUUUUAUGUACUCAGCAAGGAAGGUCCUUAACAUCUGAAUCCAUGGGUUCCAUCCAUGGCCCAUAAAUCUCCAGGACCAUUCCUAAUGGUCUGAUGUAGCACGGCAGACCCUCAACUCUCUCCAGUUACACCUUGUCAGAAGCUGGUUUUCCAGCCUGCUACAGCUAACAAUCAAUAAAGGGAGACAAAUAAUCUGAUUUGGGAAAAUGCCUUACGGGAAAUCUCACUGAGGGAACUUGUCUACCUCUGCGUGACAUAAUGCUCUCUAAUGACAUAAUACAAUAAUGACAUUUUCUUCAGCUUUCCUGGGCAUCUCACUUAGGGAACGGUGUCUGUUGGUAUUUGACUGCCAUUGACAUAAUUAUAGAUUGGAUGAGGUUUCUUAGCAACUUUGAUGGCGACGCCGGUUAUGUUGGGUAUUGUCUGGGUGUCUGAUGAUGCAAUUUGACUGUUCAGGAUGUAGCCAUGGGAGCUGAUGGAGACAGGCCCUUCCAGCUUGUCUCUGGCCAUACAGAGCAGACACCCAGAAAGCAGGCUUCUCUUCUCCAUGUGCUGGCAGCUACAUGGAGAGUUAGACUGAUGUAGUAACUGCUGCUUAGAAUCCCACUGCUUUAAAUACAACCUCUAAGUGCUUAAUGCCUUCAGUAAUCAGGUGGCUCUGAGUUUGGCACCCAUACACAGGCUUUUGCAAUCUGACUUCAGGUAUGCAGGUUUGGAGACUGCCUGUUUCCUCUCAGUUAUCCACCACUGCUCGUCUGGAUGUUUGCAACUGCUGUAAUCCUCUCAUUAUACUGUGUUUUGCAUUGCCACAGCAACAAAUGCCAGUGUGACUGGAGUGAUAACUGCAAUAAACUGGCGCAGAACAUCUCCUAAUAAUGAUCAGAGGAGUGAAGAAGACAAUUACUUCUCAUUUCUCUGCAUCCUCGCAUGAUGUGAAAAUUCUUUUGUAAUUUCACUGCAUGGGAAACAAAUCUAAUCAAUACAUUUGAAUUGCAGCCACAUCGCCUAUAGAAGCAGGCUUCAGAAUUAAUUUCUGCAUCUCUGAGGUUCAUGCAGUCUUUUUAAUUGCGUUACAUAUUUCAAUAUGCAAAAUGCUGUAUUUAAAUGGGAAUAGGAUUACUUCAUUAUUGAAGUUAAUUAAGAUGGGUAAUUAAAUGUUACAAUUAAGGUAUUGUGUAUUUUACAUUUUAUUUCCAUAAAAAGUGAUUUCCAAGUAUGACAUAAUUGAAUUGUUUGAGGUUCCAAAUCAGCUUUUCUAACUCAUUUUUUUUCCCCACAGUGCCCAAUUCCUUCCUGGCCACCAAUAUUUUCACCUUUUGGAACAAAAAUCAGAACAAAUGUUCAUGGAAACCAAUAUGAGAUCACAAAUAUUCUGUUACCUGCUUCAGAAAGAUAAUCUUGUUAUGUAAAGUAUCUCACUGUGCAAAAUUUCAGGCAGGCUCCUGCAUCUAAAACCUAACUUUGCUCUUGGCACCUUGAACUGGUGAACGUUCAAUGGCUUCCAGCCAGGCCCAAGCUCUCUAAGGCCAUUGGAGGCUCAAACUGACCC